CCCUUAGAUGUCCUGGGCCGCACGCGCGCUACACUGAGUGUCUGAGAUACGAGUCUGCCUGGUCCGGCAAGGUCUAGGUAAUCGCUAAAAGACACAUCAUGCUUGGGAUAGAUUAUUGCAAAUAUUAAUCUUGAACGAGGAAUUCCUAGUAAGCGCAAGUCAACAGCUUGCGUUGAUUACGUCCCUGCCCUUUGUACACACCGCCCGUCGCUACUACUGAUUGGAUGUUUAAGCGAGGUUCUCGAACUGCUAGCGACUUAGCUUCGGUGAGGUCGCAGUGUGAGAAGUGAACCGAGCUUUGGUGUCUAGAGGAAGUAAAAGUCGUAACA
rnacentral:rRNA from 1 species